GCUGGCUUGCUCAGAGCAAGGAGUUCUAAUCUUUUUUUCGGAUCUCAGUCGGAAUUACCAGAAAAUGAUUUUUCAUAAAAGUUUUCUGCUUUUCGCAGACUCUGGCCACUGAGGAAGAGAAAGAUGAGAAGCUAGAGAGUCUUCCGGCAGAGUUAAGAGCAGAUAAUCUUCCCACCGCUAAACCAGCUCCUAGUUUUAAAAUCUUGGCAAUCCUUGCAAGAAUGGAAGCAAGAAUUCGACGUCUUGAAGCCCUGGGUGUGCAGCAACUCAGAGGAAGAGAUGGUCGUGAUGGUAUGCCAGGGAAGCCAGGUAUAU